rfam:Myotis davidii contig19626, whole genome shotgun sequence.
GGCAGUUCUUGGUGACGCACCCUGGAAUCAGGCUUCUUCCUCUCUGGUUCCAGGUGUGUCACCUGAGAACUGCA